rnacentral:rRNA from 1 species
GAUGAACGCUGGCGGCGUGCCUAAUACAUGCAAGUCGAGCGAACAGACGAGGAGCUUGCUCCUCUGACGUUAGCGGCGGACGGGUGAGUAACACGUGGAUAACCUACCUAUAAGACUGGGAUAACUUCGGGAAACCGGAGCUAAUACCGGAUAAUAUAUUGAACCGCAUGGUUCAAUAGUGAAAGACGGUUUUGCUGUCACUUAUAGAUGGAUCCGCGCCGCAUUAACUAGUUGGUAAGGUAACGGCUUACCAAGGCAACGAUGCGUAGCCGACCUGAGAGGGUGAUCGGCCACACUGGAACUGAGACACGGUCCAGACUCCUACGGGAGGCAGCAGUAGGGAAUCUUCCGCAAUGGGCGAAAGCCUGACGGAGCAACGCCGCGUGAGUGAUGAAGGGCUUCGGAUCGUAAAACGCUGUUAUUAGGGAAGAACAAAUGUGUAAGUAACUAUGCACGUCUUGACGGUACCGAAUCAGAAAGCCACGGCUAACUACGU